CCUACGGGAGGCUGCAGUCGAGAAUCAUUCACAAUGGUGGAAACCCUGAUGGUGCGACGCCGCGUGGGGGAAUGAAGGUCUUCGGAUUGUAAACCCCUUUCAUGUGGGAGCAAAUUAAAAAGAUAGUACCACAAGAGAGAGAGACGGCUAACUCGGUGCGAGCAGCCGCGGUAAUACAGAGGUCUCAAGCGUGGUUCGGAAUCACUGGGCGUAAAGCGUUCGUAGGCUGUUUCGUAAGUCGUGUGUGAAAGGCGCGGGCUCAACCCGCGGACGGCACAUGAUACUGGGAGACUAGAGUAAUGGAGGGGGAACCGGAAUUCGUGGUGUAGCAGUGAAAUGCGUAGAUAUCGAGAGGAACACUCGUGGCGAAGGCGGGUUCCUGGACAUCAACUGACGCUGAGGCACGAAGGCCAGGGGAGCGAAAGGGAUUAGAUACCCUUGUAGUC
rnacentral:rRNA from 1 species